rnacentral:lncRNA from 1 species
GUUUUUCGCCAACUUCAUCACCGGGCUAUAGCCCGUCGUCCCCCGGGUACAGCCCAUCAUCUCCGGGAUACAGCCCCACCUCGCCUGGUUAUAGCCCAACCUCACCGGGCUAUAGCCCUACAUCUCCGGGUUACAGUCCCACCUCUCCAACUUACAGCCCAAGUUCACCCGGUUAUAGCCCAACAAGUCCUACCUACUCACCCACUUCACCUAGCUACUCCCCUACCUCACCAAGCUACUCACCCACAUCACCUAGCUACAGCCCUACAUCGCCAGCUUACAGCCCGACCUCUCCGGCUUACAGCCCGACCUCUCCUUCCUACAGCCCGACAUCACCAUCCUACAGCCCAACCUCACCCUCCUACAGCCCAACCUCACCCUCUUACAGCCCGACCUCUCCUUCCUACAGCCCAACAUCACCAUCCUACAGCCCGACCUCCCCUUCCUACAGCCCAACCUCCCCUGCUUACAGCCCAACUUCACCUGGGUACAGUCCUACUUCCCCAAGCUACAGUCCUACUUCUCCAAGUUACAGUCCCACCUCACCAAGUUACAACCCUUCAUCCGCUAAGUACAGCCCCUCGUUGGCUUAUUCUCCUAGUAGUCCAUACAGCCCUACAUCCCCCAACUAC